GACGAACCGAGCGAACGUUGUUCGGAAUCACUGGGCUUAAAGGGCGCGUAGGCGGGUGCUCAAGUCUGUGGUGAAAUCCUCCAGCUUAACUGGAGAACUGCCAUGGAUACUGGGUGUCUCGAGGAAGAUAGGGGUAUGCGGAACGAUUGGUGGAGCGGUGAAAUGCGUUGAUAUCAAUCGGAACUCCGGUGGCGAAGGCGGCAUACUGGAUCUUAUCUGACGCUGAGGCGCGAAAGCUAGGGGAGCAAACGGG
rnacentral:rRNA from 1 species